rnacentral:rRNA from 1 species
AACGAACGCUGGCGGCAUGCCUAAUACAUGCAAGUCGAACGAACACUUCGGUGUUAGUGGCGCACGGGUGCGUAACGCGUGAGAAUCUGCCCUUGGGUUCGGAAUAACAGUUGGAAACGACUGCUAAUACCGGAUGAUGACGUAAGUCCAAAGAUUUAUCGCCCAAGAAUCAGCCCGCGGCAGAUUAGCUAGUUGGUGGG